rnacentral:lncRNA from 1 species
CGCGGUCAGGCCAGGCCGGGUCCAAUUAGGGGACUCACAGCCUGCCCCGCUGUGCACCCCGAGGAGGCCCGGCCCCUGUGUCCAAUCCGGAAGUCGCAGGGAAGUGGGGAGGUCAGGAUGGUGGCGCCCGCGGCUCGGGUCUUCCUCCGGGCAGUGCGCGCGGCUCUCACUUCCACGGUCCCGGACCUGCUCUGCCUCCUGGCCCGAGGCUCCCCGCGUGGCCUCGCGUCUGGUCGCCUACCCCUCGCGGUCCACUCCGCCCAGCAUGGACCUGGAUCCGGGGCGCCUUGGUUGCGAAUUGCCAGGAGGGCCCUGAGAUUUGUGUUGUCAAAACACUGGGGGGAUGAUUGUUACCUGACAAACCGCCUCUGGCAGGACCUGAAGCCUCCCAGUCACGUCGAGAACGGGCAGGAGCUCAGGUUGGCGCCGCCGGUGCAGUGGGCAUUACAGGUGCAAGGGAACCAGUUGCAAACUGCAGUGCUGUGCUUGAGGAUGGCUCCUCCUGAGCCGGCAGGCUCCCGCCAAAGAAUUUAGAACGAGUCUACGUGGACACGCAAGUUUCAGCGAGCGGGGAUUUCCUGCGAGGCCGAGCGCGAGGAACAGCCGGCCCCGGAGGCUCGGGCUCGGGGUCUCCCCGGGGACGCGGCCGACUGAGAAGGCCGGGGCGCUCGCCGGGCGCGGCGCCGUCCUCCGUGUCGCGGGGACGGAAGGAGGCGACGCAGGCCAGGAGUCGUGCGCGCGGGCGGCGAGGGGGCGCUGUGGCCCGUGUCUGCCGGCCCGAGUCCCGGCAACGGUGGGCGCGACCCACCUCCUCCCCCGGCGGCUUAAUUCGGGGAAGAAGAAAAAACGGCAUCGAGGCAUUUCAAUAAAACCUAAGCGACUCCUGAUCC